ACACAUGCAGUCGAGCGGAACGACAUCUUCGGAUGGGCGUCGAGCGGCGGACGGGUGAGUAAUGCCUAGGAAUCUGCCCUUUUGUGGAGGAUAACCCGGGGAAACUCGGGCUAAUACUGCAUAAUCUCUACGGAGCAAAGCGGGGCUCUUCUACCCUCGCGCAGAAGGAUGAGCCUAGGUCUGAUUAGCUUGUUGGUGGGGUAACGGCCUACCAAGGCGACGAUCAGUAGCUGGUCUGAGAGGAUGAUCAGCCACACCGGGACUGAGACACGGCCCGGACUCCUACGGGAGGCAGCAGUGGGGAAUAUUGGACAAUGGGCGAAAGCCUGAUCCAGCCAUGCCGCGUGUGUGAAGAAGGCCUUAGGGUUGUAAAGCACUUUAAGCAGGAAAGAAAAGCGCCGGAUUAAUACUCCGAGCGUAUUGACGGUACCUGCAGAAUAAGCACCGGCUAACUCCGUGCCAGCAGCCGCGGUAAUACGGAGGGUGCAAGCGUUAAUCGGAAUUACUGGGCGUAAAGCGUGCGUAGGCGGUUGCGUGUGUCGGAUGUGAAAGCCCCGGGCUCAACCUGGGAAUUGCAUUCGAAACUGCGUGACUAGAAUGUGGUAGAGGAAGACGGAAUUCCACGUGUAGCGGUGAAAUGCGUAGAUAUGUGGAGGAACACCAAUGGCGAAGGCAGUCUUCUGGGCCAACAUUGACGCUGAGGUACGAAAGCGUGGGUAGCAAACAGGAUUAGAUACCCUGGUAGUCCACGCCGUAAACGAUGAGAAACUAGACGUUGGCUGACAUAGUCGGCCAGUGUCGCAGCAAACGCGUUAAGUUCUCCGCCCUGGGGAGUACGGCCGCAAGGUUGAAACUCAAAGGGAAUUGACGGGGGCCCGCACAAGCGGUGGAGCAUGUGGUUUAAUUCGAUGCAACGCGAAGAACCUUACCUGC
rnacentral:rRNA from 1 species